UACGGAGGGGGCGAGCGUUAUUCGGAAUUAUUGGGCGUAAAGGGCGCGUAGGCGGCCUGAUAAGUCAAAGGUGAAAUCCCUCGGCUCAACUGAGGAAUUGCCUUUGAAACUGUCAGGCUUGAGGCCGGGAGGGGGUGGCGGAAUUCCCAGUGUAGCGGUGAAAUGCGUAGAUAUCGGGAGGAACACCGGUGGCGAAGGCGGUUCUCUGGGCCUUACCUGACGCUGAGGAGCGAAAGCGUGGGGAGCGAACAGG
rnacentral:rRNA from 1 species